CGGAUGGAUUUCCUAUAUGACUGAGUGGCGGACGGGUGAGUAACGCGUGGGGAACCUGCCCUAUACAGGGGGAUAACAGCUGGAAACGGCUGCUAAUACCGCAUAAGCGCACAGAAUCGCAUGAUUCAGUGUGAAAAGCCCUGGCAGUAUAGGAUGGUCCCGCGUCUGAUUAGCUGGUUGGUGAGGUAACGGCUCACCAAGGCGACGAUCAGUAGCCGGCUUGAGAGAGUGAACGGCCACAUUGGGACUGAGACACGGCCCAAACUCCUACGGGAGGCAGCAGUGGGGAAUAUUGCACAAUGGGGGAAACCCUGAUGCAGCGACGCCGCGUGAGUGAAGAAGUAUUUCGGUAUGUAAAGCUCUAUCAGCAGGGAAGAAAACAGACGGUACCUGACUAAGAAGCCCCGGCUAACUACGUGCCAGCAGCCGCGGUAAUACGUAGGGGGCAAGCGUUAUCCGGAAUUACUGGGUGUAAAGGGUGCGUAGGUGGCAUGGUAAGUCAGGAGUGAAAGCCCGGGGCUUAACCCCGGGACUGCUUUUGAAACUGUCAUGCUGGAGUGCAGGAGAGGUAAGCGGAAUUCCUAGUGUAGCGGUGAAAUGCGUAGAUAUUAGGAGGAACACCAGUGGCGAAGG
rnacentral:rRNA from 1 species